rnacentral:rRNA from 1 species
AUUGAACGCUGGCGGCAGGCCUAACACAUGCAAGUCGAGCGAGAAAGCGCCUUCGGGUGCGAGUAGAGCGGCGGACGGGUGAGUAACGCGUAGGAAUCUACCUGGUAGUGGGGGACAACAGUCGGAAACGGCUGCUAAUACCGCAUACGCCCCAUGGGGGAAAGCGGGGGAUCUUCGGACCUCGCGCUAUCAGAUGAGCCUGCGUAGGAUUAGCUAGUUGGUGGGGUAAAGGCCUACCAAGGCGACGAUCCUUAGCUGGUCUGAGAGGAUGAUCAGUCACACUGGAACUGAGACACGGUCCAGACUCCUACGGGAGGCAGCAGUGGGGAAUAUUGCGCAAUGGGCGAAAGCCUGACGCAGCCAUGCCGCGUGUGUGAAGAAGGCCCUAGGGUUGUAAAGCACUUUCAAUUGGGAAGAAAAGCUGCAGGUUAAUAACCUGUAGCCCUGACAUUACCUUUAGAAGAAGCACCGGCUAACUCCG